rnacentral:lncRNA from 1 species
GUUGCUCCCUCUCCCCCAGCAUCCUCCUGGGACAUACAGCGAUGGCCCCCACACCUGGAAGGACUCAAGCUCUGAAUCCAGCACCUUCAGGAAGCAAGUGAUGGCAUCCCAGAGGCCCUAUGCUUGAGACAGACUGACGAAAACAGGUGGAUCUAGGUAAAAUCAGUCUCUGCUACCCUCCUCAUCUAAACCCUCAGUGCAGGGCCACCUUGGAAGCCAUGUGUUAACACUGAGUGAUCCUCCUCAGCCAAGUCCCUAAUGCAUGGAAAAGAACCUCCUGACCCAGUCCCCAAAGGCUGGACUUUUCCUUUGCAAGAAAUAAGGAGGUAUUGUAUUAAGCCACAGUGUUGUUCUAUUACAGAAGAUUAAGCAGUGCUUAAAUUAACAUAUACCUCCCCCAAAAAAAACAUGGUCAGGAGUCAGGUAACUCUUAUAAAGUAAUUAGCACCUAGUGUCACGGAAUGUGGAUUUCUGUCAAUGUGAGGCCAUGGGACCCUGGAACAAUGCUGCCACUUCCUAUGAAUCUAUUUCUUAAAUUGCAGGGUAAAGUUCACCAUAAAUAACAAAGUCAUGGAGUCAAGCUGUCACAAUUGGCCACCGUUCCUAA